CAGUCGCCGCGGGAAAACGAGGGGGGCAAGCGUUGUUCGGAAUUAUUGGGCGUAAAGCGCGUGUAGGCGGGUUCGCACGUCGGGCGCUGAAAUCCCCUGGCUUAACCAGGGAAGUGGCACCGAUACGGCGAGUCUGGAGGGAGGUAGGGGGGUCUGGAACUUCCGGUGGAGCGGUGAAAUGCGUUGAGAUCGGAAGGAACGCCCGUGGCGAAAGCGAGGCCCUGGACCUUUUCUGACGCUGAGACGCGAAAGCCAGGGGAGCGAACGGGAUUAGAUACCCGAGUAGUCCCUGUCUCUUAUA
rnacentral:rRNA from 1 species